rnacentral:rRNA from 1 species
AUGAAGUUGGAAUCGCUAGUAAUCGCGAAUCAGAAUGUCGCGGUGAAUACGUUCCCGGGUCUUGUACACACCGCCCGUCACACCACGAGAGUUUACAACACCCGAAGUCAGUGGCCUAACCGCAAGGAGGGAGCUGCCUAAGGUGGGGUAGAUGAUUGGGGUGAAGUCGUAACAAGGUAAC